AAAAAAGGCGAGACUGAGGCACAGAAUAAUAAUAAUGGUUUAUCUGCUGCCAAUAUAAGCAAAAAGAUGAAAUUAAAGUUUACCAAGGCAUGGAUUUCAUUUCUUAGGUUACCACUUCCAGUUGAUAUAUACAAAGAGGUUCUAAUUUCUCUCCAUCAGGCAGUCAUUCCUUAUAUCUCUAAUCCGAUCAUGUUAUGCGACUUCUUAACAAGAUCAUAUGAUAUUGGUGGAGUUGUCAGUGUAAUGGCCCUUAGCAGCCUCUUCAUCCUCAUGACUCAGCAUGGCUUAGAGUAUCCCAACUUCUAUGAAAAACUAUAUGCGCUAUUGUUACCUUCUGUAUUUAUGGCGAAACAUAGGGCAAAAUUUUUUCAGCUUCUUGACACUUGCCUAAAGUCAACACUUCUUCCAGCAUAUUUGGCUGCGGCUUUUACUAAGAAAUUGAGCAGACUGUCACUUUCAGUUCCUCCUUCUGGAGCAGUGGUUAUUAUUGCAUUGAUUCACAAUCUCCUUCGGAGACAUCCGUCAAUCAACUGUUUGGUGCACCGGGAAAAUGAUAAUGAAAAUGCAGCCGAUAAUUCAGAUGUAAAAGGGGAGAAUGCUCGCAAUGCAAAUGAUUCCAGAACAGGGAGUGGUACUUCUGCUGAAAAUCUUUGUGUUGAUCAUUUUAACAACGAGGAAAGCAACCCUGCAAAGUCUAAUGCAUUGAAAAGUUCUUUAUGGGAAAUCGAUACCCUUCGCCACCACUACUGCCCACCU
rnacentral:misc_RNA from 1 species